rnacentral:lncRNA from 1 species
CCCCAAGCAGGCUUUUCCAGUUCACAUCUGCCAACAAGGCAGCCAAGGGGGUGGUUUAGGAAGUAGAGAAAAGGUGAAAAGGCAGCGGAGGGAGCCGGCUGUCCUGUGUCUCCUCUUUUUCCUGCCCCCAGUGACUUGCAUUUUCUCUGAGACAGCUGCCAUUCUAGUCUCCCAGCCAUUCUUAGGAAGAGACGUGCCUGUCUCUGGGAAGAGGCAACUUCUCUGCAUGUCAGAGGUCUGUUACAUUUCCCAGAAUGGUUCCCAGUGCUGGAGAUAAUUCCUUUUCGGAGAACCUACAUUUCUCACCUGCUGAUUGCAAUUAGCCACUACCAGCUGGGGCCUGGUGUGCAGCUGAAAAGCUAACAAGAAGUGGAGACCACGCGGAACUCAGACAGGGCAUAGGAUGUGCAUAAAUAAGCAACGGUGCCUGUGUUUAUGAGAUGCUCCUGUGAAUUCGAGGCUUCCCCACCCUCUGCAUAACUCUCCCUCUUCUGGCUUUGUGCUGCACACCCCUCCCCUAACUAUAUUUUUUGUCUCUGGUUUUGUAGCCUACGUUUAACAUCACAGUCACGAAUUUACCACUAAGUACAUUUUGUUAGGCAAUAAACAGCCUUGGAAGAAAAAUGAAAUCCGACUAGGACUUCUGUUCUAAUAAUGU